rnacentral:rRNA from 1 species
UACGUAGGGUGCAAGCGUUGUCCGGAAUUAUUGGGCGUAAAGAGCUCGUAGGCGGCCUGUCACGUCGGCUGUGAAAACCCGGGGCUCAACCCCGGGCCUGCAGUCGAUACGGGCAGGCUAGAGUCCGGCAGGGGAGAGCGGAAUUCCGGGUGGAGUGGUGAAAUGCGUAGAGAUCCGGAGGAACACCGAAGGCGAAGGCAGUGUCCUGGGGAGUACCUGACGCUCAGGUGCGAAAGCCAGGGGAGCGAACGGG